rnacentral:lncRNA from 1 species
GAAAGCUCACUCGAUUUCUGUGCUUCUGUUUGCCCUUCCCUCACAGUCUUCUUUUUAAGAGACGGGUCUUUUCUCAAAUUACGGUGCGGAAUGGGUUUUGUUCAUCAGGUUUCGUUGAAAAACCCUCUUCUUUCUCAGCUUUUUCCACAAGCACGGCCUUACUGUGCAAGUUUCUACGAGUGUACUAGUCUUCAGCUAACUCUGUUGCCUUGUUUAGCUGUACUUCUCCAAGCUUGUCCUGCAGCCAAAGCUUGACAUCGUCCUCGAUACAGCGGUAGAAUUGCUCCAAUGCAAUGCGCUCUACCACUUAAUCGCGAUCGUCAUAAACAUCCUCGCCCUUCAGCCAUUCAAUUGAAUCGGCUUUAAGUCGAAACGCGAAGUCAACACGUGGUUUAUUACCGCGUUUUGCAUAACGGAACCUUUGCCGGAAAGCCUCGGGUGACAACUUAUAUCUUCUCAGAAGAGCUUCCUUAACCUCGUCAUUGCUCUCAAACGCCUCCCUCGACACACACGUUAUCACGCCGGAUACUUGCCCGGGCAGCAGAGCUAACAGGUUCUGUGCCCAAAGAGACCGCUCGAUGGCAUUUCUAUCGCAGACGUGUUCGAAAUUUACAAGAUACUUCGCCAUGUCCUCGCCCACUACGAACAGUGGCAGUUGGUCCCGAAUUCUAUGACCGCUGGCCUGAACCGUCGCAGAAGCUACGCUAGGGAUGUGCGAACCUUGUCGGAGCAUCAAUUCUAUUCUUUUUAUCUCAAGGCGCCCUUCGCGGUCCUCGCGCC